UACAGAGACUGCAAGCGUUAUUCGGAUUCACUGGGCGUAAAGGGUGCGCAGGCGGUUGGGUGUGUCAGAUGUGAAAUCCCGAGGCUCAACCUCGGAACUGCGUCUGAAACUACUCGACUAGAGUACUGGAGAGGGUAACGGAAUUCACGGUGUAGCAGUGAAAUGCGUAGAUAUCGUAAGGAAGACCAGUGGCGAAGGCGGGUCUCUGGACAGUUCCUGACGCUGAGGCACGAAGGUCAGGGGAGCAAACGGG
rnacentral:rRNA from 1 species